UAAGAGGUUCAUUUCUGGGUCGUGCUAAUACUACAAGUGAGAAACUAACGGCCGUUUGGCUGUCCAAUCGCGUGACUGUGGACAUUUGAAAGCAGACUUCCGCCCGCCUUUUCUACCGUUGGAAAUGCAAGAUGCGGCGACUUGACUUCAGACACCGAGAGAGGCUGGCGGCCCAGGUCUUGUGGCCACAUCUGUCCAAGCUCCUACUCUGAUUGAACAGUUGGAUGAUCAGACUGAUGAUGAAAAGUGCUACACAGUUCUCACACAUAUUCUGACUCCGAAGCCGCUGCAGUGUAAAAUCUGAGAUGUCUUUUCUGGUUGAUUUUGUGCAGAUUUCUGACAGCGAUGGUGAGGGAAGCAGUGUACCGAACUCUCAGAUGACUCGGACCAGGUGACCAAACCCAUGCAAAGCACAAUGACUGUGCUGAGGCGUUCCGCCCCCCUCCACACCACUCAAGGCACGGCGGCGGCCCAACCGCAAACUAACGGAGAUUAACAUGAGGCUGGAUGCGCUUGGCUCCCUGCUGCGUCCAUCACCAGAGGGGCCGGGGUUGCUGCGGCAGCUAGCCAAUUAAAGGAGGAGGAUGAAGGAGAGGAGUCUGACGAUGCAGACAUCGCCAUCGUAUGCAGUCCACGCCCUCGCAGGAAAACCAGCCAAUGAAAACGCUUGCAGCAGCAUCAGCAGAACACACCGGCACGACUGACAGAGCUUCUGAAGCAUGCAGUGGAAGAGCUGUCAGUCAAGCUAAAGGUCCCAUCCUCCAACCUGCUGCUGCUGCACGGAGAGGCGGAACUUAACACCUCACACACUAUUGGCCAGCUAGGACUCUGCAUCGCUGACAUCUUUGUCUGGAACCAACUUCACAUCCCUCUUCACUGCACUACUGACACUGAGAUGGAAUCCACAACCCUAUCACUAGUGGUCUGC